GGAGGAGACCUUCCCAGUUUGCAUCCAGGGCCCCUCACUCUCUCACCACAAGUUUUAAAAGAAACUGAGCUUAGAAAAAUUGUGUAAGGACUUCGGUUACAGUCAGGGGCUCAGACUCUGGAAUUCGGGGUGCUGAGGAACACUGUGAAUCUUUCAAGGGCCCUUAAAGUCAUCAUGGAAAGUCACACCACCAGAAGCAGGGCAAUCAGAAGGACUAAGAGCUCAUCAGUUUAAACAUCAUUUGCUGCUAAAAGAUGAAGACAGUCCAUCAGCAGAUGUUCCUUAAGGAAGCACUCUGGGUCAGCCAUCAUGAUAGACUCUGAGGCUAUCCCAAAGAAAAAGCCCAAAACAAAACUCUGCAGAACCUUCCAUUCUAUUGGGAUGAAACAAUGUGGACACUUAUGAGGGAACUAAGUUAAACAGUGGUUGAAUGAAUUGUCCAGCCCAGAAUCACAUAACUAGUAAGUA